rnacentral:rRNA from 1 species
UGAGGAAUCUUGCGCAAUGGGCGAAAGCCUGACGCAGCCACGCCGCGUGCCGGAUGAAGGCCCUAUGGGUUGUAAACGGCUUUUGGGCAGGAAGAACGCCCGGGGUUUGCCCUGGGGUGACGGUACUGCCUGAAUAAGCACCGGCUAACUCCGUGCCUGCAGCCGCGGUAAUACGGAGGGUGCAAGCGUUGUCCGGAAUCAUUGGGUGUAAAGGGUGCGUAGGCGGGAGCUUAAGUCUGGGGUGAAAUCUUGCCGCUUAACGGAAAAAUGGCCCUGGAUACUGGGUUUCUUGAGUGUAGAAGAGGCAGGUGGAAUUCGUAGUGUAGCGGUGAAAUGCAUAGAUAUUACGAAGAACAUCAGUGGCGAAGGCGGCCUGCUGGUCUACAACUGACGCUGAGGCACGAAAGCGUGGGGAGCGAACAGGAUUAGAUACCCCCGUAGUCC